GAAAUGCGAUAAGUAGUGUGAAUUGCAGAAUUCAGUGAAUCAUCGAAUCUUUGAACGCACAUUGCGCCCUUUGGUAUUCCAAAGGGCAUGCCUGUUCGAGCGUCAUUUGUACCCUCAAGCUUUGCUUGGUGUUGGGCGUCUUGUCUCUAGCUUUGCUGGAGACUCGCCUUAAAGUAAUUGGCAGCCGGCCUACUGGUUUCGGAGCGCAGCACAAGUCGCACUCUCUAUCAGCAAAGGUCUAGCAUCCAUCAAGCCUUUUUUCAACUUUUGACCUCGGAUCAGGUAGGGAUACCCGCUGAACUUAAGC
rnacentral:misc_RNA from 1 species